CCUACGGGAGGCAGCAGUAGGGAAUCUUCCGCAAUGGACGAAAGUCUGACGGAGCAACGCCGCGUGAGUGAAGAAGGUUUUCGGAUCGUAAAACUCUGUUGUUAGGGAAGAACAAGUGCCGUUCGAAUAGGGCGGCACCUUGACGGUACCUAACCAGAAAGCCACGGCUAACUACGUGCCAGCAGCCGCGGUAAU
rnacentral:rRNA from 1 species